rnacentral:rRNA from 1 species
UCAGCCGCCGCGGUAAUACCAGCUCUCCUAGUGGUAGGGACAAUUAUUGGGCUUAAAGCGUCCGUAGCCAGCCCCUCAAGUCUCUCGUUAAAUCCAACGAUUCAAUCGCUGGACUGCGGGAGAUACUGUAGGGCUAGGGGGCGGGAGAAGCCGACGGUAUUCUUGGGGUAGGGGUAAAAUCCUAUAAUCCCGGGAAGACCACCAGUGGCGUAGGCGGUCGGCUAGCACGCGCCCGACGGUGAGGGACGAAAGCUGGGGGAGCGAACCGGAUUAGAUACCCGGGUAGUCCCAGCCGUAAACGAUGCGGGCUAGGUGUUGGAGCGGCUACGAGCCGCUUCAGUGCCGCAGGAAGCCAUUAAGCCCGCCGCCUGGGGAGUACGGCCGCAAGGCUGAAACUUAAAGGAAUUGGCGGGGGAGCACA